rnacentral:rRNA from 1 species
GUCCUGGCCGUAAACGAUGGAUACUAGGUGUAGGGGGUAUCGACCCCUCCUGUGCCGCAGCUAACGCAUUAAGUAUCCCGCCUGGGGAGUACGGCCGCAAGGUUGAAACUCAAAGGAAUUGACGGGGGCCCGCACAAGCUGUGGAGCAUGUUGUUUAAUACGUCACUAACCGUAGAACCUUACCAGGGCUUGACAUCUGCUGACCUCCUAUGAAAGUAGGCUUUCCUCGCAAGAGGACAGCAAGACAGGUGUUGCAUGGCUGUCGU